rnacentral:rRNA from 1 species
UGAACGACUCUCGGCAACGGAUAUCUCGGCUCUCGCAUCGAUGAAGAACGUAGCGAAAUGCGAUACUUGGUGUGAAUUGCAGAAUCCCGUGAACCAUCGAGUCUUUGAACGCAAGUUGCGCCCGAGGCCACUGGGUCGAGGGCACGUCUGCCUGGGCGUCGUGC